rnacentral:misc_RNA from 1 species
GAUGAAGAACGUAGCGAAAUGCGAUACGUAGUGUGAAUUGCAGAAUUCAGUGAAUCAUCGAAUCUUUGAACGCACAUUGCACCUCUCGGUAUUCCGGGAGGUAUGCCGUUCGAGCGUCAUUCGUACCCUCAAGCUCUGCUUGGUGUUGGGUGUUUGUUCCGCCUCUGUGUGUGAACUCGCCUCAAAACAAUUGGCAGCCGGCGUACUUGUUUCGGAGCGCAGCACAUUUUGCGAUCCAGAUCAACGUACAGCGGCAUCCAAGAAGCCUUAUUUAACGCUCUUGACCUCGGAUCAGGUAGGGAUACCCGCUGAACUUAAGCAUAUCAAUAAGCGGAGGA